GUACACUCCUACGGGAGGCAGCAGUGGGGAAUUUUGGACAAUGGGCGAAAGCCUGAUCCAGCAAUGCCGCGUUAGUGAAGAAGGCCUUCGGGUUGUAAAGCUCUUUUGUCAGGGAAGAAACGGUGAAAGCUAAUAUCUUUUGCUAAUGACGGUACCUGAAGAAUAAGCACCGGCUAACUACGUGCCAGCAGCCGCGGUAAUACGUAGGGUGCAAGCGUUAAUCGGAAUUACUGGGCGUAAAGCGUGCGCAGGCGGUUUUGUAAGUCUGAUGUGAAAUCCCCGGGCUCAACCUGGGAAUUGCAUUGGAGACUGCAAGGCUAGAAUCUGGCAGAGGGGGGUAGAAUUCCACGUGUAGCAGUGAAAUGCGUAGAUAUGUGGAGGAACACCGAUGGCGAAGGCAGCCCCCUGGGUCAAGAUUGACGCUCAUGCACGAAAGCGUGGGGAGCAAACAGGAUUAGAUACCCCUGUAGUCCCAUGAU
rnacentral:rRNA from 1 species